rnacentral:rRNA from 1 species
GAUUAAGUUAUUAAGGGCGCACGGUGGAUGCCUUGGCACUAGAAGCCGAUGAAGGACGUUACUAACGACGAUAUGCUUUGGGGAGCUGUAAGUAAGCUUUGAUCCAGAGAUUUCCGAAUGGGGAAACCCAGCAUGAGUUAUGUCAUGUUAUCGAUAUGUGAAUACAUAGCAUAUCAGAAGGCACACCCGGAGAACUGAAACAUCUUAGUGCCCGGAGGAAGAGAAAGAAAAUUCGAUUCCCUUAGUAGCGGCGAGCGAAAUGGGAAGAGCCCAAACCAACAAGCUUGCUUGUUGGGGUUGUAGGACACUCUAUACGGAGUUACAAAGGACGACAUUAGACGAAUCAUCUGGAAAGAUGAAUCAAAGAAGGUAAUAAUCCUGUAGUCGAAAAUGUUGUCUCUCUUGAGUGGAUCCUGAGUACGACGGAGCACGUGAAAUUCCGUCGGAAUCUGGGAGGACCAUCUCCUAAGGCUAAAUACUCUCUAGUGACCGAUAGUGAACCAGUACCGUGAGGGAAAGGUGAAAAGCACCCCGGAAGGGGAGUGAAAUAGAACCUGAAACCGUGUGCUUACAAGUAGUCAGAGCCCGUUAAUGGGUGAUGGCGUGCCUUUUGUAGAAUGAACCGGCGAGUUACGAUUUGAUGCAAGGUUAAGCAGUAAAUGUGGAGCCGUAGCGAAAGCGAGUCUGAAUAGGGCGUUUAGUAUUUGGUCGUAGACCCGAAACCAGGUGAUCUACCCUUGGUCAGGUUGAAGUUCAGGUAACACUGAAUGGAGGACCGAACCGACUUACGUUGAAAAGUGAGCGGAUGAACUGAGGGUAGCGGAGAAAUUCCAAUCGAACCUGGAGAUAGCUGGUUCUCUCCGAAAUAGCUUUAGGGCUAGCCUCAAGUGAUGAUUAUUGGAGGUAGAGCACUGUUUGGACGAGGGGCCCCUCUCGGGUUACCGAAUUCAGACAAACUCCGAAUGCCAAUUAAUUUAACUUGGGAGUCAGAACAUGGGUGAUAAGGUCCGUGUUCGAAAGGGAAACAGCCCAGACCACCAGCUAAGGUCCCAAAAUAUAUGUUAAGUGGAAAAGGAUGUGGCGUUGCCCAGACAACUAGGAUGUUGGCUUAGAAGCAGCCAUCAUUUAAAGAGUGCGUAAUAGCUCACUAGUCGAGUGACACUGCGCCGAAAAUGUACCGGGGCUAAACAUAUUACCGAAGCUGUGGAUUGUCCUUUGGACAAUGGUAGGAGAGCGUUCUAAGGGCGUUGAAGCAUGAUCGUAAGGACAUGUGGAGCGCUUAGAAGUGAGAAUGCCGGUGUGAGUAGCGAAAGACGGGUGAGAAUCCCGUCCACCGAUUGACUAAGGUUUCCAGAGGAAGGCUCGUCCGCUCUGGGUUAGUCGGGUCCUAAGCUGAGGCCGACAGGCGUAGGCGAUGGAUAACAGGUUGAUAUUCCUGUACCACCUAUAAUCGUUUUAAUCGAUGGGGGGACGCAGUAGGAUAGGCGAAGCGUGCGAUUGGAUUGCACGUCUAAGCAGUAAGGCUGAGUAUUAGGCAAAUCCGGUACUCGUUAAGGCUGAGCUGUGAUGGGGAGAAGACAUUGUGUCUUCGAGUCGUUGAUUUCACACUGCCGAGAAAAGCCUCUAGAUAGAAAAUAGGUGCCCGUACCGCAAACCGACACAGGUAGUCAAGAUGAGAAUUCUAAGGUGAGCGAGCGAACUCUCGUUAAGGAACUCGGCAAAAUGACCCCGUAACUUCGGGAGAAGGGGUGCUCUUUAGGGUUAACGCCCAGAAGAGCCGCAGUGAAUAGGCCCAAGCGACUGUUUAUCAAAAACACAGGUCUCUGCUAAACCGUAAGGUGAUGUAUAGGGGCUGACGCCUGCCCGGUGCUGGAAGGUUAAGAGGAGUGGUUAGCUUCUGCGAAGCUACGAAUCGAAGCCCCAGUAAACGGCGGCCGUAACUAUAACGGUCCUAAGGUAGCGAAAUUCCUUGUCGGGUAAGUUCCGACCCGCACGAAAGGCGUAACGAUUUGGGCACUGUCUCAACGAGAGACUCGGUGAAAUCAUAGUACCUGUGAAGAUGCAGGUUACCCGCGACAGGACGGAAAGACCCCGUGGAGCUUUACUGUAGCCUGAUAUUGAAAUUCGGCACAGCUUGUACAGGAUAGGUAGGAGCCUUUGAAACGUGAGCGCUAGCUUACGUGGAGGCGCUGGUGGGAUACUACCCUAGCUGUGUUGGCUUUCUAACCCGCACCACUUAUCGUGGUGGGAGACAGUGUCAGGCGGGCAGUUUGACUGGGGCGGUCGCCUCCUAAAAGGUAACGGAGGCGCUCAAAGGUUCCCUCAGAAUGGUUGGAAAUCAUUCAUAGAGUGUAAAGGCAUAAGGGAGCUUGACUGCGAGACCUACAAGUCGAGCAGGGUCGAAAGACGGACUUAGUGAUCCGGUGGUUCCGCAUGGAAGGGCCAUCGCUCAACGGAUAAAAGCUACCCCGGGGAUAACAGGCUUAUCUCCCCCAAGAGUUCACAUCGACGGGGAGGUUUGGCACCUCGAUGUCGGCUCAUCGCAUCCUGGGGCUGUAGUCGGUCCCAAGGGUUGGGCUGUUCGCCCAUUAAAGCGGUACGCGAGCUGGGUUCAGAACGUCGUGAGACAGUUCGGUCCCUAUCCGUCGUGGGCGUAGGAAAUUUGAGAGGAGCUGUCCUUAGUACGAGAGGACCGGGAUGGACAUACCUCUGGUGUACCAGUUGUCGUGCCAACGGCAUAGCUGGGUAGCUAUGUGUGGACGGGAUAAGUGCUGAAAGCAUCUAAGCAUGAAGCCCCCCUCAAGAUGAGAUUUCCCAACUUCGGUUAUAAGAUCCCUCAAAGAUGAUGAGGUUAAUAGGUUCGAGGUGGAAGCAUGGUGACAUGUGGAGCUGACGAAUACUAAUCGAUCGAAGACUUAAUCAA